GGCAGAGUAGUGUAAUGGUAAAGAACACAGCUCUGUAGCCAUACUGCCUGGGUUUGAAUCCCAUCUCUACCA
rnacentral:tRNA from 1 species